GGGAGUGACACUCGGUGGUCCGGGUUGCGGACUUCAAAUCCGUAGAGGAGUAGAUGCCUAGUGGUUCGAUUCCACCUCACCC
rnacentral:tRNA from 1 species